GACGAACGCUGGCGGCGUGCUUAACACAUGCAAGUCGAACGAUGAAACCUAGCUUGCUAGGUCGAUUAGUGGCGAACGGGUGAGUAACACGUGACUAACCUGCCCCUUUCUCUGGGAUAACGCUCCGAAAGGAGUGCUAAUACCGGAUACUCACAUCGAGGCACAUGCCUUGGUGUGGAAAGUUUUUCGGAAAGGGAUGGAGUCGCGGCCUAUCAGCUUGUUGGUGAGGUAACGGCUCACCAAGGCGACGACGGGUAGCCGGCCUGAGAGGGCGACCGGCCACACUGGGACUGAGACACGGCCCAGACUCCUACGGGAGGCAGCAGUGGGGAAUAUUGCACAAUGGGCGCAAGCCUGAUGCAGCGACGCCGCGUGAGGGAUGAAGGUCUUCGGAUUGUAAACCUCUUUCAGUAGGGACGAAGCGGAAGUGACGGUACCUAAAGAAGAAGCACCGGCUAACUACGUGCCAGCCGCCGCCGUAA
rnacentral:rRNA from 1 species